AACGAACGCUGGCGGCAUGCCUAACACAUGCAAGUCGAACGAGACCUUCGGGUCUAGUGGCGCACGGGUGCGUAACGCGUGGGAACCUGCCCUUAGGUUCGGAAUAACUCCCCGAAAGGGGUGCUAAUACCGGAUAAUGUCUUCGGACCAAAGAUUUAUCGCCUUUGGAUGGGCCCGCGUUGGAUUAGCUAGUUGGUAGGGUAAAAGCCUACCAAGGCGACGAUCCAUAGCUGGUCUGAGAGGAUGAUCAGCCACACUGGGACUGAGACACGGCCCAGACUCCUACGGGAAGCAGCAGUGGGGAAUAUUGGACAGUGGGCGAAAGCCUGAUCCAGCAAUGCCGCGUGAGUGAUGAAGGCCUUAGGGUUGUAAAGCUCUUUUACCCGGGAUGAUAAUGACAGUACCGGGAGAAUAAGCUCCGGCUAACUCCGUG
rnacentral:rRNA from 1 species